UCUAAGCGCAGUCAUGACUUUCUGUAUCUAACUUCCAUAACGGUCUUAUUUAAAAAAAAUUAUUUGUAUUUUUAUUGUUGUUAGAUGAUAAACAUAAAUAUUACUUUAUGCGUGACUUAUAUUUUUAUUUUUUAAAAAAAUAAAUAAGAUGAUCGAUUAAAAUUAAACACGAAAACUCAUGGUUGCGUUUAAA
rfam:Oryza punctata chromosome 5, whole genome shotgun sequence.